UGAACGACGGAGGCGGCAGCUCAGUCGCUAUCGGCUCGGUCGUUGCGGCGGGUGAGAGGCGAGAGCGCGAGAGAGUCGCUGAGAAUUGGAAAGAAGAAGAUGUUCGAACUGUUUUGGGAUUUUGUUGAUGGCACCAUUUAAGCUUUUUAUUCUUCGUCUAAAAAUUGGAAAGCACCAUCAAAUUUCUAACAAAGCAGGUAAGCCAGGUAUCUGGCACCUUCCAUCGCUAGCCAGAUAUACUGCAUCCAGACGGACAAGAUUUCAAAACAAAUGCUGUAAUAGACGAGAAGCAAAUACGAGAAAAAAUAACAAAACAAGAGCGGAAUCGAAAUGGAAAUGUCGUCCAACCCCCAAGACAUGACAUGAGAGCAGCCAGGCACGUGGAGGAAGCGGAGAUAGGGUGAGAGUGAGGAGGAUAAAGAAUUGGCCAUCAUGGGUGCAAAUGCAACCGGAGCAAAACAAAUGCGAACAAGUUACCAGAAACGGGAAAACAACACACGGAGAAGCAGAGAAACUACGAGCAAUAGACCGUACCGCUCCAAGCCGGAGAGACAUGGACGGGCUCUGGUUGUUAUUGCAACCGCAUCUAAUUAGACCAGCGACACGACGACGACGAGGAGAACACCAGUAGCCACCUGUUGCAUGCCAGGAAGUCUGCGAUGACAAGCUCCAGCACCCCGGGAAAAUUAUGUAAAGUGUUGUAGCAGGCGCCUGAUAAUUCCGGGCUAUCGAGAAUAGGGGUUUGCUUUUUGUUUUUUUAAAGGCAAUUAGAAAACCAAUUGAAAUAUUCAUGUAUACAGGAAGAUAAUAAUUGCCAUAAUUAAAGGGGUAUACUAGCUAUCACUUCGAAAAAAAAAUGAUUAAAAAAUAAUAAAUAAUACUAGUACAGCUGA